GAUGAAGAACGUAGCGAAAUGCGAUAAGUAAUGUGAAUUGCAGAAUUCAGUGAAUCAUCGAAUCUUUGAACGCACAUUGCGCCCUCCAGUAUUCUGGCGGGCAUGCCUGUCUGAGCGUCAUUUCAACCCUCAUGCCCCUAGGGCGUGGUGUUGGGGAUCGGCCAAAGCCCGCGAGGGACGGCCGGCCCCUAAAUCUAGUGGCGGACCCGUCGUGGCCUCCUCUGCGAAGUAGUGAUAUUCCGCAUCGGAGAGCGACGAGCCCCUGCCGUUAAACCCCCAACUUUCCAAGGUUGACCUCAGAUCAGGUAGGAAUACCCGCUGAACUUAAGCAUAUCAAUAAGCGGAGGA
rnacentral:misc_RNA from 1 species